rnacentral:lncRNA from 1 species
AUAUUUAGCGACAAAAUAAUUAUUCCGUCGUUAUUAGUAUAUUGAUCCGUCGUUAAUUAAAAAGAUAUUUCGGCAGGCCUGAAAUUUUUAGCGAUGAAAUAUUUUUUUCUUCGUUGUUAAUAAACCGAUUGAGAUUUUUAGCGAUGAAAUAUUUUUUUCGCCGUUGUUAAUAGACCGACAGAAAUUUUUAGCGAUGAAAUAUUUUUUUCAUCGUUGUUCAUAAAUGGAUUUGUCAAAAUAUUUUUGGCGGGAGCAUGAAAAUUUCAACAAUAUAUGAUAUUUAUUUUAUUUUGAAAAAAGCCUUAAUAGGCAAGAACCAAUAGAAUCCUAGCUAAUUAAUUAAGUCAAUUUUCUACAACACCUGAACCCAAUUGUUGUCGCACGCCCCCUAAUUAAUUAAGCCCUUUACAACACCGGAACCCCAAUUAUUGCCGCCCCUAAUUAAUUAGCCCUAGGCUCUUCCUCUCCCAAGAGUGCCCGAUCGCACGAACCUCCCAUCACCACCUGCUCGCACGAACCUUCAAUCGCCGCCGGCUUCCUGCUCUCGCUGUGGCCACCCUUCCUCCUCACCUCUCGCACGCCGCGCGCGGGACUCACGCUUGGAAUUGCCGCCUGCCUCAAACCCCCGACUUGUCGCCGCUCUCUCGCUCAGUGUCGCAGCCGACGUCGCCCGAAAAUUGUACGACGUCGACGCCGCCGUCACCCCGAAACUCACUGACUUUUCACUGCCGCUUUCGCCACGAGAUCUCACCGACUUCGCCGGCUCCCUCGCCCCCACAAGACUGCCGGGAUAUAUUGUGGUUGGUUUCAUUCUUACUUCAACAUUUAUUUUGUUAUAAAAUUUAUUUUUGUCUUUACUGGACUCUUAAAGGGGGAAACGUGAAGUGGACAGAAAAUU